UUAAAAUCUCAAAUUUCAAUGAAAUUUGAAAUUCCAUCCCAAAAUUUUUCAAUUUCUCCUCUUUACAAAACUCCCGCUGCUUUCCAAAGACCUAGUUCAUGUUUCCCAUACGAUCUCUCUUCCAGAAUUCAUAAUCGGUUUCUUCUCUAAAACCAAUAUGAUUGUGCUUAGCCGCAAUCGACCUCCAAUCAACCGUUUCAUGUCAUUCGACCUCAGCAAUCAACCCAUCGAUUUGAUUCUACUACAAAAAAUCAACCAUGUUCCAGGCGACCUCUUUGAGAUGGCCAUGUUGGAGGCACGACAUUAACUUGUUAAAGAACACCAUGUUGCAUUUCUCAAGGAUGAAGCAGAAGAAUGGAAAGCCACGAAAGGUUCUUGUUGAGACAACUAUUGUCUAAUGGUUUAUAGCAACUUCAUGUUCACAUAGGUUUGAAAUUCACUGUUGAGUAUUUUUAAAUUUGCUUCCGAGAGACUACUGAAUAUUCUUCACAGAACCACCUUGAGCUAGGAGAGUUUUGGUGUACUAUUAGUGACUCGAGUGACGUGACUGAAACACAAUAAGAAGUAAUUAAGACAAAGCAAUGUACACUAUGAAGGGAAGAAUAUUAAUGUUCAUGAUUUCAAUGUUUCUGGAUUUUGACAACCACAAUUGCAAGUGCUGGAGCUAAUGGAUCUGAUGUACAACUCUAACGAUAGCGACGGCCCGAUCUAGGAUGUUAGUUAAGACUAAUUCUUAUUAUUUAAUUUAUCUAAUAUUGUUUUACGAUUUAGAAUUAAUUAACUAAGUAUUGUUUAUUCAUAUGUUUGGAUCUGUUAUUGUUUUUUAUUCUUAUAAUUGAGUUAUGCUAUUGUUGGUUGAAUA